UCUGGUAUGAAAUUAGGAAAAAAUUUAAAUUAAAUUAAAAUGUAAUGUUUAAAUGUUUAAUGUUUAAUGUUUUAAAUUAAAAUGUAAAAUUUUAGAUCCUUUUUGUUUCCUAUCUCCAUUGCUUCUAAAUUCAAGUGUAUUUUUAAUAGGUCCUCUUUUUAAUAAAGUAUGCUUUUAGACUCUGGUUGAAGCCACACAUGAAGAGACACUUCUCCAGGCAGAAUUGUGAGGUGCAUAGAACCCACAGUCCAGUUUGUGCUUCUGCAAUAGUUUUCCUAAGCAAAAUAUUCAGCAGCUCCCAAGAAUCUUUUAUGAGCUUGAAAAUAUUCAUGGACAACCCUUUCUACAAUCCAUAUCAGUUGGAAGGCAGCUGUGGAAGAUCAGUAAUAAAUUGAAGACCCAGAAGAGAAAUAAAUAGUUUGUCAAGAAUUCUGUAUUGACCAUAACAUAAAAUCCAGAGAUACGACCUUGUCUGCAGAUUCAUCUGAGAAUGGUGAGUGAAAUAUAUGUUAUCCUGACAUCCAUUUUCUCACAUGCUAUAAAACUUUGGAUCAAGUCACUUCAUCUAGAGAUGUUCAAGGCCAAGACGGGUGGGGUCCUGGGCAACCUGACCUAAUGGGUGGUAACGCUGCCCAUGGCAGGGGGAUUGGAAUUGAGUGAUCUUUAAAGUCCCUUCUAACCCAUGCCAUUCUAUGACUCUGUGAUCUCCAUUUCCCUUUAGUACUAGUCAAGUAGGAGAUCUGCAGUCUGGGGACUGUAAUAAUUCUUACCAGGCUCUCAGAGAUCUCAAAUCAUUAAAAAUCUUCCUCACAGCUGCAGUAAUAUGGUCGUUCUCCUGUCCUAGCACUGAUGUCUGGUGGUGAAGUUCCACAAUAAACAAGUAUAAGAAACAUUCA
rnacentral:lncRNA from 1 species